UGCAUGCUACAUUUUAUGAAUGCAUGUGGCCUAGAGAAAAAAGCUAUGCCAACCUGUCCAAAUGAACUUGUAUGUAUGCACAUAGUAUACUCCCAUCUGCCUAUCCUUGUAAAGACAAACUAUUAUUGUGCUGUUAUAGGAAAAGGCCAAGGUAGCCUUAAUCAGCAUCACUGGGGACCAGUCCAAAGAGAACAGGUCAGAGGAAUACCAGAGUCUACUAUCAACAUGAGGAUUGUAAAUACUUAUAUCCACAAAAGUACCGGGGAUCGAACUCUGGUCCUUGCGCUUGCGCAGCACGCGGCUAAACCACUGAGCUAAAUCCCCAGCCCUCGACUUCAUUUAUGGAGAAGUGAACAUAAUACAGAUGCUAUGAUGUUUCUUAGAGGAACUGUAUGUAUAGUUGUCAACCAUGGAUUUCUAAGAACAGAACCAAAAUAUUCUAUUCAAACAAUAUUUAAUGAAAAAUAUAUGUGUAACAAGAACGGAUGCUGUGUAGGCAUUUUUAGCAAUCCAUUUUAGGAAAAUUCUGUAGUGUUAAGGACAGUUUUAAAAAUUUUUUAUUGGAGUAUAUGAGUAGCUUAUUUUCCUUUUGGGAAGCAUCAAAAUGUCAUUAUAAAUAAAUAACCUGUACAAAUUUUGUAUUUCUGUAGUAGUUAGAAUUAAUGAUAAGAUUCUAAGCAUGUGUAUUUGAUUUUUUCAAAUUCUUUUUUUUAUCCUUUUAUUGGUACAUUUUAGGUGUACAACAUAAUGACAUUCAUCAUUGGAGAUAUGCACCUUUACAUACUCUCUUGGUUCUUAUUUUUUCCCCCUUCCCCUGCCCUCCCUUCAACCCCUCCACUCUUUUCUAUUUACAAAGACUUUGUUUC
rnacentral:lncRNA from 1 species